rnacentral:lncRNA from 1 species
AGGCGGAAAACUUAGGAAGAGCUGGAUGCCUCCCACGGAGAGCGUCCCUUCCAAGCGGCCCCGGAGUGGAGUGGAGUGGAGUGGAUAGGGGUAGACUUUUCACACGGGGACAAAUUAUUACAGGAUAUCUGCGCCCCCUGUUCCGAGUCACUCGGGGCCAUCGGUUACUUCAGCAGGUUCUCUGCAUCACGGACCCUUUUGAGGCUCAGCCGCCGCCGCCCGACCGCCGGGAGGAUGGAGUUCAGCGGGCAGCGGAGCUGUCUCAGUCUUUGCCGCCGCGCCGGCGAGCGCCGCCCGGGAGGCAGCGGCUGGAGGAGCGGACGGGCCCCGCGGGGCCCGAGGGCAAGGAGCAGCCGCCUGCCUUGGCCUCCCAAAGUGCCGAGAUUGCAGCCUCUGCCCGGCCGCCACCCCGUCUGGGAAGUGAGGAGUGUCUCUGCCUGGCCACCCAUCGUCUGGGAUGUGAGGAGCCCCUCUGCCUGGCUGCCCAGUCUGGAAAGUGAGGAGCGUCUCCGCCCGGCCGCCAUCCCAUCUAGGAAGUGAGGAGCGCCUCUUCCCAGCCGCCAUCACAUCUAGGAAGUGAGGAGCGUCUCUGCCCGCCCGCCCAUCGUCUGAGAUGUGGGGAGCGCCUCUGCCCCGCCGCCCCAUCUGGGAUGUGAGGAGUGCCUCUGCCCUGCCGAGACCCCGUCUGGGAGGUGAGGAGCGUCUCUGCCCGGCCGCCCCGUCUGAGAAGUGAGGAGACCCUCUGCCUGGCAACCACCCCGUCUGAGAAGUGAGGAGCCCCUCCGCCCGGCAGCUGCCCCGUCUGAGAAGUGAGGAGCCUCUCCGCCCGGCAGCCACCCCAUCUGGGAAGUGAGGAGCGUCUCCGCCCGGCAGCCACCCCGUCCGGGAGGGAGGUGGGGGGGGUCAGCCCCCCACCCGGCCAGCCGCCCCAUCCGGGAGGGAGGUGGGGGGGUCAGCCCCCCGCCUGGCCAGCCGUGCCGUCCGGGAGGGAGGUGGGGGGGUCAGCCCCCCGCCUGGCCAGCCGUGCCGUCCGGAAGGGAGGUGGGGGGGUCAGCCCCCUGCCCGGCCAGCCGCCCCGUCCGGGAGGUGAGGGGCGCCUCUGCCCGGCCGCCCCUACUGGGAAGUGAGGAGCCCCUCAGCCCGGCCAGCCACCCCGUCCUGGAGGGAGAUGGGGGGGUCAGCCCCCCCACCCGGCCAGCCGCCCCGUCCGGGAGGGAGGUGGGGGGGUCAGCCCCCCGCCUGGCCAGCCACCCUGUCCGGGAGGGAGGUGGGGGGGUCAGCCCUCCGCCCGGCCAGCCGCCCCGUCUGGGAGGUGAGGGGCGCCUCUGCCCAGCCGCCCCUACUGGGAAGUGAGGAGCCCCUCUGCCCGGCCAGCUGCCCCGUCCGGGAGGGAGGUUGGGGGGUCAGCCCCCCGCCCGGCCAGCCGCCCUGUCCGGGAGGGAGGUGGGGGGGUCAGCCCUCCGCCCGGCCAGCCGCCCCGUCUGGGAGGUGAGGGGCGCCUCUGCCCAGCCGCCCCUACUGGGAAGUGAGGAGCCCCUCUGCCCGGCCAGCCGCCCCGUCCUGGAGGGAGGUGGGGGUGUCGGCCCCCCGCCCGGCCAGCCGCCCCGUCCGGGAGGGAGGUGGGGGUGUCGGCCCCCCGCCCGGCCAGCCGCCCCGUCCGGGAGGGAGGUGGGGGUGUUGGCCCCCCGCCCGGCCAGCCGCCCCGUCCGGGAGGGAGGUGGGGGGGGUCAGCCCCCCUGCCCGGCCAGCCGCCCCGUCUGGGAGGUGAGGGGCGCCUCUGCCCGGCCGCCCCUACUGGGAAGUGAGGAGCCCCUCUGCCCGGCCACCACCCCGUCUGGGAGGUGUGCCCAACGGCUCAUUGAGAACGGGCCAUGAUGACAAUGGUGGCUUUGUGGAAUAGAAAGGCGGGAAAGGUGGGGAAAGGAUUGAGAAAUUGGAUGGUUGCCGUGUCUGUGUAGAAGGAGGUAGACAUGGGAGACUUUUCAUUUUGUUCUGCACUAAGAAAAAUUCCUCUGCCUUGGGAUCCUGUUGAUCUGUGACCUUGCCCCCAACCCUGUGCUCUCUGAAACAUGUGCUGUGUCCACUCAGGGUUAAAUGGAUUAAGGGCGGUGCAAGAUGUGCUUUGUUAAACAGAUGCUUGAAGGCAGCAUGCUCGUUAAGAGUCAUCACCAAUCCCUAAUCUCAAGUAAUCAGGGACACAAACACUGCGGAAGGCCGCAGGGUCCUCUGCCUAGGAAAACCAGAGACCUUUGUUCACUUGUUU